rnacentral:rRNA from 1 species
UUGACCUCAAAUCGGGUGAGACUACCCGCUGAACUUAAGCAUAUCAAUAAGCGGAGGAGAAGAAACUAACAAGGAUUCCCCUAGUAACUGCGAGUGAAGCGGGAAAAGCUCAAAUUUAAAAUCUGGUGGUCUUUGGCCAUCCGAGUUGUAAUUUAGAGAAGCGUCUUCCGCGCUGGACCGUGCACAAGUCUCCUGGAAUGGAGCGUCAUAGAGGGUGAGAAUCCUGUCUUUGGCACGGACACACCAGGGCUUUUGUGAUGCACUCUCAAAGAGUCGAGUUGUUUGGGAAUGCAGCUCAAAAUGGGUGGUGAACUCCAUCUAAAGCUAAAUAUUGGCGAGAGACCGAUAGCGAACAAGUACCGUGAGGGAAAGAUGAAAAGCACUUUGGAAAGAGAGUGGAACAGUACGUGAAAUUGUUGAAAGGGAAACGCUUGAAGUCAGUCGCGUCGACCGAGACUCAGCCUUGCCUCGGCUUGGUGUACUUCUCGGCCUGACGGGUCAGCAUCAAUUUUGCCCCUUGGAUAAUGGCGAGGGAAAUGUGACACCUUUACGGUGUGUCAUAGUCCCUUGUCGCAUGCAAGGGUUGGGAUUGAGGAACUCAGCACGCGCCUUUGGGUGUCGGGGCUUGCCACGAUACGUGCUUAGGA